CUUUUGUAUAAUGGGUCAGCGACUUAUAUUCUGUAGCAAGGUUAACCGUAUAGGGGAGCCGCAGGGAAACCGAGUCUUAACCGGGCGUUAAGUUGCAGGGUAUAGACCCGAAACCCGGUGAUCUAGCCAUGGGCAGGUUGAAGGUUGGGUAACACUAACUGGAGGACCGAACCGACUAAUGUUGAAAAAUUAGCGGAUGACCUGUGGCUGGGGGUGAAAGGCCAAUCAAACCGGGAGAUAGCUGGUUCUCCCCGAAAGCUAUUUAGGUAGCGCCUCGUGAAUUCAUCUCCGGGGGUAGAGCACUGUUUCGGCUAGGGGGCCAUCCCGGCUUACCAACCCGAUGCAAACUGCGAAUACCGGAGAAUGUUAUCACGGGAGACACACGGCGGGUGCUAACGUCCGUCGUGAAGAGGGAAACAACCCAGACCGCCAGCUAAGGUCCCAAAGUCAUGGUUAAGUGGGAAACGAUGUGGGAAGGCCCAGACAGCCAGGAUGUUGGCUUAGAAGCAGCCAUCAUUUAAAGAAAGCGUAAUAGCUCACUGGUCGAGUCGGCCUGCGCGGAAGAUGUAACGGGGCUAAACCAUGCACCGAAGCUGCGGCAGCGACGCUUAUGCGUUGUUGGGUAGGGGAGCGUUCUGUAAGCCUGUGAAGGUGGCCUGUGAGGGUUGCUGGAGGUAUCAGAAGUGCGAAUGCUGACAUAAGUAACGAUAAAGCGGGUGAAAAGCCCGCUCGCCGGAAGACCAAGGGUUCCUGUCCAACGUUAAUCGGGGCAGGGUGAGUCGACCCCUAAGGCGAGGCCGAAAGGCGUAGUCGAUGGGAAACGGGUUAAUAUUCCCGUACUUGGUGUUACUGCGAAGGGGGGACGGAGAAGGCUAUGUUGGCCGGGCGACGGUUGUCCCGGUUUAAGCGUGUAGGUGUGUGUUCCAGGUAAAUCCGGUUCACUUUAACACUGAGGCGUGAUGACGAGGCACUACGGUGCUGAAGCAACAAAUGCCCUGCUUCCAGGAAAAGCCUCUAAGCAUCAGGUAACAUCAAAUCGUACCCCAAACCGACACAGGUGGUCAGGUAGAGAAUACCAAGGCGCUUGAGAGAACUCGGGUGAAGGAACUAGGCAAAAUGGUGCCGUAACUUCGGGAGAAGGCACGCUGACACGUAGGUGAAGUGAUUUACUCACGGAGCUGAAGUCAGUCGAAGAUACCAGCUGGCUGCAACUGUUUAUUAAAAACACAGCACUGUGCAAACACGAAAGUGGACGUAUACGGUGUGACGCCUGCCCGGUGCCGGAAGGUUAAUUGAUGGGGUCAGCGCAAGCGAAGCUCCUGAUCGAAGCCCCGGUAAACGGCGGCCGUAACUAUAACGGUCCUAAGGUAGCGAAAUUCCUUGUCGGGUAAGUUCCGACCUGCACGAAUGGCGUAAUGAUGGCCAGGCUGUCUCCACCCGAGACUCAGUGAAAUUGAACUCGCUGUGAAGAUGCAGUGUACCCGCGGCAAGACGGAAAGACCCCGUGAACCUUUACUAUAGCUUGACACUGAACAUUGAGCCUUGAUGUGUAGGAUAGGUGGGAGGCUUUGAAGUGUGGACGCCAGUCUGCAUGGAGCCGACCUUGAAAUACCACCCUUUAAUGUUUGAUGUUCUAACGUGGACCCGUAAUCCGGGUUGCGGACAGUGUCUGGUGGGUAGUUUGACUGGGGCGGUCUCCUCCUAAAGAGUAACGGAGGAGCACGAAGGUUGGCUAAUCCUGGUCGGACAUCAGGAGGUUAGUGCAAUGGCAUAAGCCAGCUUGACUGCGAGCGUGACGGCGCGAGCAGGUGCGAAAGCAGGUCAUAGUGAUCCGGUGGUUCUGAAUGGAAGGGCCAUCGCUCAACGGAUAAAAGGUACUCCGGGGAUAACAGGCUGAUACCGCCCAAGAGUUCAUAUCGACGGCGGUGUUUGGCACCUCGAUGUCGGCUCAUCACAUCCUGGGGCUGAAGUAGGUCCCAAGGGUAUGGCUGUUCGCCAUUUAAAGUGGUACGCGAGCUGGGUUUAGAACGUCGUGAGACAGUUCGGUCCCUAUCUGCCGUGGGCGCUGGAGAACUGAGGGGGGCUGCUCCUAGUACGAGAGGACCGGAGUGGACGCAUCACUGGUGUUCGGGUUGUCAUGCCAAUGGCACUGCCCGGUAGCUAAAUGCGGAAGAGAUAAGUGCUGAAAGCAUCUAAGCACGAAACUUGCCCCGAGAUGAGUUCUCCCUGAGACUUUAGGUCUCCUGAAGGAACGUUGAAGACGACGACGUUGAUAGGCCGGGUGUGUAAGCGCAGCGAUGCGUUGAGCUAACCGGUACUAAUGAACCGUGAGGCUUAACCUU
rnacentral:rRNA from 1 species